AUGGAUUCAGAGAUCCAGACUGCCAAUACCUCCCCAGAUGAUAGAGCCCCCUGCAUCUUUAGGAAAUCAAUUCAGCCAGUCACAUUAAAGUUUGAGGAGGUGGUUUACAAGAUCAAAAUCAAGAAUGUGGGAAUGAUAGGAGGAAUGUUAUGGCCAAAGACUGAGGAGACUGAGAAAGUGAUCCUGAAGGGUGUGACAGGAAUGGCAGAACCAGGUGAAAUUCUAGCCAUGUUAGGUCCAUCCGGAAGUGGCAAAACGACUCUCCUAACCGCACUAGGAGGCCGUCUCAGUGGCCAACUCGCCGGAACCAUAACCUACAAUGGCAAAACCAUCUCCAAUGCAAUGAAAAGAAACACCGGAUUCGUUUCCCAAGACGAUUUUCUCUAUCCCCAUCUAACCGUCACCGAAACCCUAGUUUUCACAGCCCUUCUCCGAUUGCCAAACACUCUAACAAAGGAAGAGAAGGCAUCCCAAGCCGAAUCGGUUAUAGCUCAACUCGGAUUGAGCCAGUGCCGAAACAGCAUUAUAGGCCAUGAGUUCCUGAGGGGUGUUUCAGGAGGGGAGAGGAGAAGGGUGAGCAUAGGGCAAGAGUUGCUUGUAAACCCUAGCUUGCUCUUAUUGGACGAACCCACCUCCGGCCUCGAUUCUACCACAGCUCGGAUGAUCGUUACUCUUGGAAAAGGUAGUUCUUUACCUUUAGAUCUUUCAAUUUGUGAUCCUCGGUUACCUUCCUCUGUGCCUCAGUUGGCUCCACUCCACUUGCAACUGCUGGUAUCCCAUGUUCAAUCAGACUCCAACUUUGAAAGUCCAACAGUUACGACAUUGUCAGAGUUAGCCAGUGGUGGAAGAACAAUAGUGAUGACAAUACACCAACCUUCGAGUAAGCUGUUUUACAUGUUUCACAAGCUGUUACUUUUAUCUGAAGGAAAUGCUCUGUAUUUUGGCAAAGUCUCUGCAGUCAUGGACUACUUUUCGGACAUAGGGUUUUCCCCAUCUGUACCCAUGAACCCUGCUGAUUUCCUCUUGGACCUUGCUAAUGGGUUGACAAGUGAUGGGGAGGAUGCAAAUGAGUCCAUAGAUGAUCAUAUGCAAAGCAUUGUUGUGGCCUAUAGAGAGAGGCUUUCGGAGAAACUGAAGGCGGAACUUGCAGAGGACAAACUAUCAGAUGGUGCAGAAGAUAAUACUAAGCAGGAGUUUGGGAGGUGGCCAACAACAUGGUGGCAGCAAUUCAGUGUAUUAUUGAGGAGAGGGGUGAGGGAGAGGAAGCACGGGUCAUUCGCUCUUCUCAAGAUUAUAGAGGUGCUUGCAGUCUCUCUGCUUACCGCCCUACUGUGGUGGAAAUCGCAUAUUUCACACUUACAGGAUCAGAUUGGGAUUUUCUUCUUUAUGUGCGGAUUUUGGGGCUUCUUUCCUCUCUUAGAUGCAAUCGCAACAUUCCCCCCGGAGCACAAGAUGCUCGAAAAGGAGCGGUCUUCUGGCACUUACAGACUUUCCUCCUAUUUCAUGUCAAGGAAAUCGUCUCUGACCUACCCAUGGAACUUGUUCUUCCUACCCUAUUCCUCACAAUAAAGUACUGGUGCACAGGCCUAAAACCCACCGUCGGACACUUCUUGCAUGCCUUGCUGGUUCUGUUACUCGGUGUUUCAGUUGCUCAAGGCUUAGGACUUGCUCUUGGUGCUCUGGUGAUGGACCAUGAGUUGGCCAUGACACUUGGAACAGUCUUCAUGUUGUCAUUCCAACUAGUCGGUGGCUUCUUUGUUCAACAAGUGCCUAGGUUUAUAGCUUGGCUGAAGUACCUUUCGUUCGUGCACUACUCGUACAAACUCCUCUUGGGGUCUCAAUACAAGGCAGAUGAGACAUAUCCAUGUGACAAUGGAGGAGUUUGCGUGAUUGCAGAUUAUCCAUCUAUAAAAAUGGUGGGACUUGAUGGACAACUGAUCUCUGUGAUUGCUUUGGUUAUCAUGCUUGUGGGUUACAGGUUAAUUGCUUAUGUCGCCCUCAUGAGGAUUGGGGUUACAAGAAAGUAA